rfam:Pestalotiopsis fici W106-1 unplaced genomic scaffold PFICI_Scf_2, whole genome shotgun sequence.
GGCAACGUGCCAGAGUGGUUAAUGGGUAAGACUCGAAAUCUUAUGGCUUCGGUCGCACAGGUUCGAAUCCUGUCGUUGUCG